UCCAGGACAGGCACCAAAGCUACAAGGAGAAAUCCUGUCUCGAAAAACAAAACAAAACAAAACAAACAAACAAAAAUCAGGAAACUGAGGCCCAGAGAGACAAAGGAGGUCCCCACAUAUACGUAAGCAUACUUGAGUAUGGACGUCUGGGUCCCCUAACACUGCAGAUUGUUAAAACCCUGAAACCAGGGGCUUGGGAUGGGGGUCAGUUGGUAGUGUUUUGCCUAGCAUGCAUGAAGCCCUCGAUGCCAUCCAGGGUCACAUUAGGUGGGUACAGUGGCUCACAUCUGUGGUCUCACCACUGAGGAGGUGGAGGCUGGAGGGCAGAAGUUCAAGGUCACCCUUUGUCUACAAGCCUGGUGCACCCAGAAACUCCCUUAGGCCCCUUGCUCCCAUUGCCCCAGAUGCCCAGACUUUUCUGCAUAUUCCAGCCCCCUUCAUGUGCCAGCGACCCACAGGUAUUGUGAGCCCUGGAGGCAGCCCUGUUCACCGGAUGCUUCUCAGCUCAGUCACACAGGAGUGACCGCCUGAGAUCCCCUGUGGUGUUUUCCGGCACAAGAUGGAGGGGGGGGGGGGCUCAAGGUGGGAGAGCAUCUCAGGGCUGCAGUCAGCUCCCCCUUCCUCACUCCAUUUCCCCGGGUGCCUGGGGUGAGAGGAGGCAGCAGGGGCCGAACAACAGAGCUUUGAGGCGGUAUCUGUGGAGGGAAGUGGGGGAGAUUAGGGCUUCUCAUUUUUCCCACCAUCCCAGAAGAUAACUGGGGUGAGGGGUGGUGACGGGGCUGGGUCCUCAUGCUAACUAGCCCUGCAACCAUCCACCUGCCCCCAGGUCUCCCACCACCCAUCCGUUCUCCAGGACUCCAGGCUGAAACCCAAGGAGCAGCUCGGAAGAAGGGUAGAGACAGCCGAUAAGGCUUCGGGCUGUGCUGGCCUAGGCCCAAACUUGUAAACAUCACCCCAACUGCUCUCACCCUCAUCCACCUGCAGUCCCCGAAGCUGCCCUAAGGCACAGCCCCUGCCUGGAGUCGUUCAUCACCACCAGCCCUUUUAAAAGGGGCAUCCAGUCCACAUGCUAUAAUCUUACCGUAAUCUCUGGAGGCAGACUCAGGAGGACUGGGGGUUGGCACAAGUUCGAGGCUAGCCUCCACCACACAACGAUACCUACCCUGUGUCAAUGUCAGAAAAUAGAACAUGCCUGGCAGUCCGACUUGGAGUACCUGGAGAGACCCAACUCCACAAAGUUGUGCUCUGAACUCCACAUCUGUGCUGUGCUACACAUACAGAUAAAUGGGGGGGGGGGGUUGUUGUUCAAUAGGCUGGAUGUGUAGCUCAGUGGUGCAGUACUCAGCUGGUGUAUGCAAGGUUUCUUCCGCAGGGGCACAUGCAGGAGAGCCCACAGGUUUGACUGUAAAUGUUGCCUCCCGGACUAAGUGGCUUUGUGUCUGAGUGGACAGGUCACAUCUGGCCCCAGCAAACACUACCCUGUGGGGAGUCCCAGCAGUGCCUUCCGUACAUGCUCUGUUUCUCCUGAUCCCUCCGGAACCCUGUGAAGGCAGGGCUGGCCUUUCUUGCACGAUCCCCAUCCUGUGGUGUCGACCCCUUCAGCAGAUUUCCUGAGAAGCGGCCACUUGUGGGCAGAGUUGUCAUGGGAGGCCCAAGGGUUGAAGACUGUGGAAGGGUGACCUGCACCUGGGCUGGCCACCCACAGAUGUGACAGGAAUGCUGAGGACUCUUCUCCCAAUAUGACGUGGCAUUGGAAGAAAUGCAUCUGUGUCUCUAUAGUCCUCCGAAGAGACUCUCAGCCUCAGUUUCCUUAUUGAUGUGGCCUGCAGGCCACCGGUGGACCACGUGAUCUCCUCUGGACGCAGCCAUCGUCUUCCAGAUGAGGAAAAGGAAGCAAAAGCAGAAACACGUACACAGUACCCAGAGCAGGACGCAGAGAAUCCUACGCUCAGACCCAGGCCUCCCCGUUCCCUGGCUUGUAAAACAGAGCACAGCUCUUCCUUCCAGAGUCUGGCUAAUUAACAAUAACGCGGCCAUCACAGUCCUGGAGGGACCAGGAAGUGCUUCAUGAGCUGAUCCUGAUCUGGCAUUGUCCAUGGUGCAGGAGCGAGGCCGACCGGAACGCAUGCUUCCAAGGAAGGGGUAAAUCCAUCUUGGCAUACAUACAUCUGCUCUCUGGCUCAGGAAGAAUGCUCCAGAAAUGGACUGGGACAGUGGGCGGGGAACUCUUUCCCAGGAACCUUUUGACGCAUUUUAAUUGUUGGCCACGUGACUUCGGCAGCUUUUCCUAAAGAAAAGAGCUGUUUUGUUUAUUUGUA